rnacentral:rRNA from 1 species
UUGUCUCAAAGAAUUAGCCAUGCAUGUCUCAGUACAAGCCAAAUUAAGGUGAAACCGCGAAAGGCUCAUUAAAUCAGUUAUGGUUCCUUAGAUCGUACCCACAUUUACUUGGAUAACUGUGGUAAUUCUAGAGCUAAUACAUGCAAACAGAGCUCCGACCGGAAACGGAAGGAGCGCUUUUAUUAGAUCAAAACCAAUCGGUGGCGGUCUCCGUCAUCGUACAACUUGGUGAUUCUGAAUAACUUUAAGCUGAUCGCACGGUCUCGCACCGGCGACGCAUCUUUCAAAUGUCUGCCUUAUCAACUGUCGAUGGUAGGUUCUGCGCCUACCAUGGUUGUAACGGGUAACGGGGAAUCAGGGUUCGAUUCCGGAGAGGGAGCCUGAGAAACGGCUACCACAUCCAAGGAAGGCAGCAGGCGCGCAAAUUACCCACUCCCGGCACGGGGAGGUAGUGACGAAAAAUAACGAUACGGGACUCAUCCGAGGCCCCGUAAUCGGAAUGAGUACACUCUAAACCCUUUAACGAGGAUCAAUUGGAGGGCAAGUCUGGUGCCAGCAGCCGCGGUAAUUCCAGCUCCAAUAGCGUAUAUUAAAGUUGUUGCGGUUAAAAAGCUCGUAGUCGAAUCUGUGUCCCGCGCCGCCGGUUCAUCGUUCGCGGUGUCAACUGGCGUGCCGCGGGACGUCCUGCCGGUGGGCUUAGCUCGCGAGGGCGGCCCAACUCAAUCCCGCCGCGGUGCUCUUCAUUGAGUGUCGAGGUGGGCCGGCACGUUUACUUUGAACAAAUUAGAGUGCUUAAAGCAGGCUAAAACUUCGCCUGAAUACUGUGUGCAUGGAAUAAUGGAAUAGGACCUCGGUUCUAUUUUGUUGGUUUUCGGAACCCCGAGGUAAUGAUUAAUAGGAACGGAUGGGGGCAUUCGUAUUGCGACGUUAGAGGUGAAAUUCUUGGAUCGUCGCAC